rnacentral:rRNA from 1 species
CGGGGUGAGUAAUGUAUGGGGAUCUGCCUGAUGGCGGGGGAUAACUACUGGAAACGGUAGCUAAUACCGCAUAAUGUCUGCGGACCAAAGCGGGGGACCUCCGGGCCUCGCGCCAUCAGAUGAACCCAUAUGGGAUUAGCUUGUAGGUAAGGUAACGGCUUACCUAGGCGGCGAUCCCUAGCUGGUCUGAGAGGAUGAUCAGCCACACUGGGACUGAGACACGGCCCAG